GUAAAAUCCAUAGGCUAUUCCACGCAAAAAUCUUCAAAAGAUCUCUACUCAGGAAAGCUAUUUCACAUCCUUUCUUGGAGUCGAUUUCUCACAUCGCCUCAUUGUAUGUUCUGGAAUCAUCUCUAUGCUCCCAUCUCCCAUGAGAAAUGACUUUUUCUAUAUUCUCUGUUAAGCAUACCCAAGUACCUUUCGAGAGGAUAGGAGAUCUGACUAAGUGUACGAGGUGGAAAAGGAA
rnacentral:lncRNA from 1 species